ensembl:lncRNA
GAAGCAAGAGGUUUAUGUAAUACAGUGAUUCCACAGUCCAGUGUUACCCUUUAAAUCACCACCUCAUUUACUGCUGGUCAAACCUCUGGGUGAAGCACAGCUGUAUCAGACGCAGUGAUGGUGAAGACGGCGACUGCUGUACUGUCGGCACUGCUGCUGUGUGUGGGGGGCGCACUGGCGCAGGACUUCAUGUCGCCGAACGUGAACAUUAUGGAAGAACUGGGGAAACUGAAGAACAUGGAAGAACGACUGAGAACCUUGGAAGAAACUGUGCAGAACCAGAGGGUCUUGGUGGAGCAACUGCAGAAGGAGAAUGGAGCCCUGAAGACGACGGUGGAAACGAUGCAGGCUACACUGGAAUCACUGCAGAGCUUUAAAGCAGCUCUCUGUGGAGAUUAUCCCGCUGUUGAAAAUGCCAAUGUUACGGAGGUUCUAGGUGGGCUGAUAUUAAAAGUGAGCUGUGCUGCACUUUACAAACUCGUCGGACCAGAAGAAGUAAUGUGUGUUAAAGGGAAAUGGUCAGAUCUUCCUGCUUGUAAAGCUCCAUGUAGACUGGAUCAGUCAAAGUUUCGUUCUCCGCAAAGAGAGUACAUGCAGCACGGAGAAAUAAGCACCUUCAUGUGUUCUUCCUCUUUUCUCAGAGUGCACAUCAAAUGUGAGGACGGAAGAGCGUACUACAAAGGAUGUGGUAAUCACGACUGGUGAGAUGUGUGUGAACGUCUUCCUGCUGCAGCUUUUACUGAAACUCACGAAACUGCAGAGCGACUGGAACGACCUGUAACUGCUUUACCUUUAAGCGUUACUGUAACGUUCUCAGAACGUCUGAUUAAAAACAGAUCCUGAAUAAACAACUGUGGACAACUGUGGUUCUUU